rnacentral:rRNA from 1 species
UACGUAGGGGGCAAGCGUUUGUCCGGAAUUAUUGGGCGUAAAGAGCUCGUAGGCGGUCUGUCGCGUCGGCUGUGAAAACCCGGGGCUCAACCCCGGGCCUGCAGUCGAUACGGGCAGACUAGAGUGCGGUAGGGGAGACUGGAAUUCCUGGUGUAGCGGUGAAAUGCGCAGAUAUCAGGAGGAACACCGGUGGCGAAGGCGGGUCUCUGGGCCGUAACUGGACGCUGAGGAGCGAAAGCGUGGGGAGCGAACAGG